rnacentral:rRNA from 1 species
GUGGAUUAGAUACCCGGGUAGUCCACGCUGUAAACGAUGGGCACUAGGUGUGGGGGGUGUCGACUCCCUCCGUGCCGACGCUAACGCAUUAAGUGCCCCGCCUGGGGAGUACGGCCGCAAGGCUAAAACUCAAAGGAAUUGACGGGGGCCCGCACAAGCAGCGGAGCAUGUGGUUUAAUUCGACGCAACGCGAAGAACCUUACCUGGGCUUGACAUGUUCCUGACAACCGUGGAAACACGGUCUCCCUUCGGGGCAGGAUCACAGGUGGUGCACGGUCGUCGUCAACU